rnacentral:rRNA from 1 species
GACGAACGCUGGCGGCGUGCUUAACACAUGCAAGUCGAACGGAAAGGCCCUGCUUUUGUGGGGUGCUCGAGUGGCGAACGGGUGAGUAACACGUGAGUAACCUGCCCUUGACUUUGGGAUAACUUCAGGAAACUGGGGCUAAUACCGGAUAGGAGCUCCUGCUGCAUGGUGGGGGUUGGAAAGUUUCGGCGGUUGGGGAUGGACUCGCGGCUUAUCAGCUUGUUGGGGGGGUAGUGGCUUACCAAGGCUUUGACGGGUAGCCGGCCUGUGAGGGGGACCGGGCCCAUUGGGGACGGGGAUCCGGCCGAGCCCCCGCCGGGGGGCAGGGGGGGGGAAUAUUGAAAAAGGGGGGGAAUGUUGAUGCCGACACGCGGGGGGGGGGAUGGCGGCUUUGGGGUUGAAAACCCUUUCCCCUUGUGACAAAGGGGGAGGGAGGGAAUGGGGAAAAGAAGCACCGGCUAAUUACG